rnacentral:rRNA from 1 species
UACGAGGGGGGCAAAUGUUGUUCGGAAUCACUGGGCGUAAAGGGAGCGUAGGCGGGUUUUUAAGUCAGGUGUUUAAUCCCGGGGCCCAACCCCGGACCGGCACUUGAAACUGGGAAUCUUGAAUAGGGGAGAGGUCAGUGGAAUUGGAGGUGUAGCGGUGGAAUGCGUAGAGAUCUCCAAGAACACCAGUUGCGAAGGCGGCUGACUGGACCCAUAUUGACGCUGAGGCGCGAAAGCUAGGGGAGCAAACGGG